rnacentral:tRNA from 1 species
GUUCUUAUAGUUGAAUAACAACGAUGGUUUUUCAUGCCAUUAGUCAUGGUUGGAUUCCAUGUGAGAAUA